rnacentral:rRNA from 1 species
UGGGGAAUAUUGGACAAUGGGCGCAAGCCUGAUCCAGCCAUGCCGCGUGAGUGACGAAGGCCUUAGGGUUGUAAAGCUCUUUUGGCGGGGAAGAUAAUGACGGUACCCGCAGAAUAAGCUCCGGCUAACUUCGUGCCAGCAGCCGCGGUAAUACGAAGGGAGCUAGCGUUGUUCGGAAUCACUGGGCGUAAAGCGCACGUAGGCGGAUUGUUAAGUCAGAAGUGAAAUCCCGGAGCUCAACUUCGGAACUGCCUUUGAUACUGGCAAUCUAGAGUCCGGAAGAGGUUAGUGGAAUUCCCAGUGUAGAGGUGAAAUUCGUAGAUAUUGGGAAGAACACCAGUGGCGAAGGCGGCUAACUGGUCCGGUACUGACGCUGAGGUGCGAAAGCGUGGGGAGCAAACAGGAUUAGAUACCCCCGUAGUCCCUGAGCGGGCUGGCAAGGCGCAU